CAGUCGCCACGGGAAUACGUAGGUGGCAAGCGUUGUCCGGAAAUAUUGGGCGUAAAGGGCUCGCAGGCGGUUUCUUAAGUCUGAUGUGAAAGCCACCGGCUCAACCGGGGAGGGUCAUUGGAAACUGGGAAACUUGAGUGCAGAAGAGGAGAGUGGAAUUCCACGUGUAGCGGUGAAAUGCGUAGAGAUGUGGAGGAACACCAGUGGCGAAGGCGACUCUCUGGUCUGUAACUGACGCUGAGGAGCGAAAGCGUGGGGAGCGAACAGGAUUAGAUACCCCGGUAGUCCCUGUCUCUUAUAA
rnacentral:rRNA from 1 species